rnacentral:lncRNA from 10 species
CUGUAAUUCCUUCUGCUGGAGCUAGGGUUCGGCCACCUUGACGCGCCCCCUCUGCCCCUGGAGCGUGUCUUUGGGUUUUGUGUGUGUGGGAGUGGGGUGUAUGUGUGUUUCUUAUCCGAGACACCUCUGGGUCGUUUGCUUGGAAACCGGCUGAGGGCCCGCAUACCCUGGAGCAUUUGGUUGCAAAGUGAGGCAGGUAGCGCCCAAGGCUCCUGUACCAGGGCCAGGUUAGGCACCAACGCGUCCCUUAUGUCUCUGCAGCCUGCAGUGUGGUGGAACCGUUUCAUAGACUGAAGUGUGAACGUAGGAGGGGAUGGAUAUCAGAGAUCUGUUUAUCCACAUUUUCAGAGAGUGGUAUUGCUCUGAUGUGAGCGUAGGCAGGUUACUCUCUGUGUCUCGUGUUCUUUACCUGUAAUUUGAGGUUUGUUGUACCUACUAUUAAGUGGUGGUUGUGAGGAUUAAAUGGAAUUUUGACAUGCAACAGUUGACACAGGGCCAGACACCAAGUAAGGGAUCAAUCAGUUGUUGCUUUUAUUAAUAGUAGGCAUCCAUCUGCCCAUUUGCACGUAAGAAGGAAACACCCAAGAAUGAAAAGUAGCUUGUUGUAGGUCACCCAGCCAACUAGCACAUAGUGGAAAUUAGAAUCCAGGCACUCCCAGCAGGGCACUUUCCACCACCCUGCACUUUUGUAUUCAUCAGGCACAGUAUCCUUACUGUUGUCUGUAACUGUCUAUGUUCCCAGUGUCUGACUCUGCA